GGGGCUGUUUGGUUUUGACAGCGGGCAGAAGAGGUAUGUAAGCACGCAGUGCAUUGUCGCAUAAGCACUUUAAUCUCAUGCGGUAAACUAUAACUGGCGAAAGAAACUACGCUCUCGCUGCCUGACCGAAGCACAGUAAGUCAGGCUUAAUUCCGUCACAGAAGCUGGCGGAACGGGACAUCUCUCGGAUGCCGCCUCCCUGAGGCUAUCCGGUUCAGAGGUGUGGGCAAUAUCGGGGAUGGCCGGCCGUGGCCGCGCACGGCAGGUGAGAUUUCAGCGGAUAAGGCGGCCGUUGGUGGCUUCGGUCUUGCGUCCGCACGAAAACGAAGGCGAAGAUAAGCGUGUAGAAAGCAUAUUGCUUCCUCGUUUGGACACGGGUUCGACUCCCGUCAGCUCCAC
rnacentral:tmRNA from 1 species